rnacentral:rRNA from 3 species
AUAGAUCCUGAAACCGUAUGCUUACAAAAAGUAGGAGCCCGCAAGGGUGACUGCGUACCUUUUGUAUAAUGGGUCAGCGACUUACAUUCAGUGGCAAGGUUAACCGAAUAGGGAAGCCGUAGAGAAAUCGAGUCCGAAUAGGGCGAAUUAGUCGCUGGGUGUAGACCCGAAACCAAGUGAUCUAUCCAUGGGCAGGAUGAAGGUGCCGUAACAGGUACUGGAGGUCCGAACCGACUAAUGUUGCAAAAUUAGCGGAUGACCUGUGGAUAGGGGUGAAAGGCUAAACAAACUUGGAAAUAGCUGGUUCUCUCCGAAAACUAUUUAGGUAGUGCCUCAAGUAUUACCUGCGGGGGUAGAGCACUGUUUUGGCUAGGGGGUCAUGGCGACUUACCAAACCAAGGCAAACUCCGAAUACCGCAGAGUACAGCUUGGGAGACAGAGCACCGGGUGCUAACGUCCGGACUCAAGAGGGAAACAACCCAGACCGCCAGCUAAGGUCCCUAAAAUUGGCUAAGUGGGAAACGAAGUGGGAAGGCUAAAACAGUCAGGAUGUUGGCUUAGAAGCAGCCAUCAUUUAAAGAAAGCGUAAUAGCUCACUGAUCGAGUCGUCCUGCGCGGAAGAUGUAACGGGGCUAAGCCAGUUACCGAAGCUGCGGAUUUGCAAUUUAUUGCAAGUGGUAGGAGAGCGUUCUGUAAGCCUGUGAAGGUGCGUUGUAAAGCGUGCUGGAGGUAUCAGAAGUGCGAAUGCUGACAUGAGUAGCGUUAAAGGGGGUGAAAAGCCCCCUCGCCGUAAGCGCAAGGUUUUCUACGCAACGUUCAUCGGCGUAGAGUGAGUCGGCCCCUAAGGCGAGGCAGAGAUGCGUAGUUGAUGGGAAACAGGUCAAUAUUCCUGUACCGAUGUGUAGUGCGAUGUGGGGACGGAGAAGGUUAGCUCAGCAGACUGUUGGAUAUGUCUGUUCAAGCCUGUAGUCGUGCCUGGUAGGUAAAUCCGCCGGGCUUAGAUGAGGGGUGAUAACGAGGAAGCUUGCUUCCGAAGUGAGUGAUACCCUGCUUCCAGGAAAAGCCACUAAGCUUCAGCUACACACGACCGUACCGCAAACCGACACUGGUGCGCGAGAUGAGUAUUCUAAGGCGCUUGAGAGAACUCAGGAGAAGGAACUCGGCAAAUUGACACCGUAACUUCGGAAGAAGGUGUGCCUUUAGUAUGUGAACCUGUACAAGGGGAGCAGAAUGAGGCCUCAGAGAAUCGGUGGCUGCGACUGUUUAAUAAAAACACAGCACUCUGCAAACACGAAAGUGGACGUAUAGGGUGUGACGCCUGCCCGGUGCUGGAAGAUUAAAUGAUGGGGUGCAAGCUCUUGAUUGAAGUCCCAGUAAACGGCGGCCGUAACUAUAACGGUCCUAAGGUAGCGAAAUUCCUUGUCGGGUAAGUUCCGACCUGCACGAAUGGCGUAACGAUGGCCACACUGUCUCCUCCUGAGACUCAGCGAAGUUGAAAUGUUUGUGAUGAUGCAAUCUCCCCGCGGAAAGACGGAAAGACCCCAUGAACCUUUACUGUAGCUUUGUAUUGGACUUUGAACAGAUCUGUGUAGGAUAGGUGGGAGGCUUUGAAGCGUGGUCGCUAGACUGCGUGGAGCCAACGUUGAAAUACCACCCUGGUGUGUUUGAGGUUCUAACCUAGGUCCCUUAUCGGGAUCGGGGACAGUGCAUGGUAGGCAGUUUGACUGGGGCGGUCUCCUCCCAAAGCGUAACGGAGGAGUUCGAAGGUACGCUAGUUACGGUCGGACAUCGUGACGAUAGUGCAAUGGCAUAAGCGUGCUUAACUGCGAGACUGACAAGUCGAGCAGAUACGAAAGUAGGACAUAGUGAUCCGGUGGUUCUGUAUGGAAGGGCCAUCGCUCAACGGAUAAAAGGUACUCUGGGGAUAACAGGCUGAUACCGCCCAAGAGUUCAUAUCGACGGCGGUGUUUGGCACCUCGAUGUCGGCUCAUCUCAUCCUGGGGCUGUAGCCGGUCCCAAGGGUAUGGCUGUUCGCCAUUUAAAGAGGUACGUGAGCUGGGUUUAAAACGUCGUGAGACAGUUUGGUCCCUAUCUUCCGUGGGCGCUG